rnacentral:rRNA from 1 species
UACGGAGGGGGCAAGCGUUGUUCGGAAUUACUGGGCGUAAAGGGCGCGCAGGCGGCUGCUCAAGUCAGGCGUGAAAGGCCUGGGCUCAACCCGGGAACUGCGUCCGAUACUGGAAGGCUUGAAUCCGGGAGAGGGAUGCGGAAUUCCAGGUGUAGCGGUGAAAUGCGUAGAUAUCUGGAGGAACACCGGUGGCGAAGGCGGCAUCCUGGACCGGUAUUGACGCUGAGGCGCGAAAGCCAGGGGAGCAAACGGGG